UACGAAGGGUGCAAGCGUUACUCGGAAUUACUGGGCGUAAAGCGUGCGUAGGUGGUUUGUUAAGUCUGUUGUGAAAGCCCCGGGCUCAACCUGGGAAUGGCAAUGGAUACUGGCAGGCUAGAGUGCGGUAGAGGGUAGUGGAAUUCCCGGUGUAGCGGUGAAAUGCGUAGAGAUCGGGAAGAAUACCGGUGGCGAAGGCGUUCCGCUGGGCCGUUGCUGACGCUGAGGCGCGACAGCGUGGGGAGCAAACAGG
rnacentral:rRNA from 1 species